rnacentral:rRNA from 1 species
UGGGGAAUCUUGCGCAAUGGGCGAAAGCCUGACGCAGCAACGCCGCGUGAGCGAAGAAGGCCUUCGGGUUGUAAAGCUCUGUCAGGGGGAAAGAAGGCACCUGGGUUAAUAGCCCAAGGGCUGACGGUACCUCCAAAGGAAGCCACGGCUAACUACGUGCCAGCAGCCGCGGUCAUACGUAGUUGGCAAGCGUUGUCCGGAAUCAUUGGGCGUAAAGAGCGCGUAGGUGGCUUGUCAGGUCUGAUGUGAAAACCUGGGGCUUAACUCCAGGCCGGCAUCAGAAACCGGCUUGCUAGAGUCUGGGAGAGGAGAGUGGAAUUCCUGGUGUAGCGGUGAAAUGCGUAGAUAUCAGGAGGAACACCGGUAGCGAAGGCGGCUCUCUGGAACAGUACUGACGCUGAGGCGCGAAAGCUAGGGGAGCAAACA